CCUGCCUCCCAAGAAAGAAACGCAAGAAGUAAGUACAGGGAAAAACAGAAAAGAUAUGGCUAGGUUCUCUUCUUCUACAAUACUCUGCUUUCUCUUGAUUGUGAUGAGCUCAUAUCAAUUUGCUUUACUGUGCCAAGCUGCGAGAGGCAUGCCCACCUAUACAAAAUCCCAUUACUGUAGGUCAGCGGUUUGUGGACUUCCGGGAAGCCCCGAUGGCCAGUGGAAGCAGCAUCCUGCUUAUAAAGUUCCUACCGUUCCACCACCUCAGAAAAUGUCAAUAAACCACAACAAGACUGGCUAGUUGGCAGUCAGAAACAACGAUGCCAUCUCGAGUCACUGAAAUUAUCUGCAAGAAAGCAACGAAUCUCGGUUGUUAAUUGUGAUUUAUCUUACUGUAAAUGCUAAUAGGAUCAAGGAAAAGAGUGUAUAAUAAAUUCCUAAAGAUUACAGUUUCUAGGAGGCCUUGAGAAAGUAGUGAGACUUUUGCUGUUUUUAAAGUAUUAUUUUAAUAAAAAGCAACUUGUUUAGAAAGUA